rnacentral:lncRNA from 1 species
UGGGGGCCUUUAGGAAGGGGUUGGGGGGGUCUAAGGGAGUCUAAGGGGAUUUGGGGGGGUCUAAAGGGAAUUGGGGGGGUCUUUGGGGGUCUUGAGUGUCUUUUUGGGGUCUUUUUGGGGUUUUUUGUGGUCUUUUUGGCUCUUUUUGGGUCUUUUAGAGGUCUUUUUGUCGUUUCUGAGUGUCUUUUUGGGGUCUUUUCUGGGUAUUUUGGGGUCUUUUGGGGGUUUUUUGGUGUCUUUUUGGGUCUUUUGGGGUCUUUUUGGUGUAUUUUUGGGUCUUCUAGGGUCUUUUAGGGUCUUUUAGGGUCUUUUUAGGGGUCUUUUAGGGUCUUUUUGGUGUAUUUUUGGUCUCUUUUUGGGUCUUUUUGAGGUCUUUUUGGGGUUUCUGAGUGUCUUUUUGGGGUCUUUUUGGUUUUUUUGGGGGUCUUUUGGGGUUUUUCAUCUCUUUUUGGGUCUUUUUGGGGUCUUUUUGGUGUAUUUUUGGGUCUUUUAGGGUCUUUUUGGGGUCUUUUUGGUCUCUUUUGGGGUCUUUUGGUGUAUUUUCGGGUCUUUUUGGUGUAUUUUUGGGUCAUUGUGGGUCAUUUUGUGUCUCUUUGUGUCCGUACUGACGCUGUCCCCGCAGACACCUGGACUUUGACCUGGACAAAACCCUUUUCUUCUUCAUCGCGGGUCGUUACGAAUUCUCCAACAAAGGGGCCGACAUCUUCCUGGAGGCGCUGGCGCGGCUCAACUACCUGCUCAGGGGGGAACCUCCCCGACAUGAACAAGAUGUUGGACAGGGAGGAUUUCACCAUGAUGAAACGGGCCAUAUUCGCU